UAAGUUAAGAUUUGUGUUUCUUUGCUUUGUAUUUAAUUGGAUUUAUUUAAAUAAAAUAUGUUUUUAAAUACAAUAACUUAUUCUCCUAUUACAUCAAAUAUAUUUUCGAUAAUGAAUUUUGAAGAAUCUAAGGAGAACAUACAGCCUUUAGCCUCAGGACGAAACGCCAGUUUGUUGCAAGCAUCGUUGCGCUCAGAGGUAGAAGAAUUGUUCACACAACGCCGUUAGAUGGAGCACAACAUACAUAGUUAUAAAGGUGAUGAUCCACUUGAGGCAUGACACACAUAUAUAAGUUGAAUUGAGCAAUAUUUUCCGUUCGAUGGUAAAAAAUCAAGUUCAUUUGCGGCCAUAAAAAUUCUAUUGAAACUUACCAACAGCUUUUUAAUGGUGAAUACACCAAAAGUUGAUGAAAUAUUUAAACAAUGCGUUGCUUGUAGAGUCCAACCUCUAGAUGAGUUGCAAGAAGCACAGCCACAUUUCGGUUUCUCUGUGGCGCAAAGAUAUAUUUAUGGUGAAGAUAAAUGAGCUAAAAACAUUGUCAAUCGACAGCUUGAGGAAUGCCGUUUGGCACUGAUUUCGCUACCUGGAUAUAGUCCUAAAGCGACAGUUGGAAGUAUAAGAACAGGUGCUUCAGGUAAUAACUAUGUACCUGGUACCAUUCAAACUGAUUCUUCUUUGGUGGUAAAACGUUCUAAUACCCCCGUAAAAGUUUUUAAUGACGGAAAUUAACAGUGUGACAGAACGCCAUCGCAUCUCAGGAAAGUAUCAAAAAUAAAGCACACGACAAAAAGAAGCGUGGCAAAUUAUAUACCAAAAUUCAUUAACCUGCCUUUAAUAUACAUAAAGAUCAGCUGAUGGAAAUGGUUUGUGUGGAUCCGAAUGUCAAUCCAUUUAAUGUAGAAUUACUAAACGCUUUUCUAAAUCAUAUUGAUUUUAUAACUUUUUUAAAAAACUUGCGAACUUGUAAAAUGUGGUAUUGACACUAAAACUGGUAAAUAUAUGCUUAAACAGAAACGACCACCAAACUACUGGGAGUAUUAUAUUUGCUUAGAGCUACAAAGUCGCAUUACAUCAGAAAAUAUGUUAUGCACUUAACAUGAAGAUUGAUUUUUCUCUAAUCUCAAUAACUCACGUCUAUAAGUAUCCAAAUUUUCGGACUAUGGUUCACUGAUAAAUCUUUGCAACAAAGUUAAAAAGGCGACUGUGAAAAAUGUGGACGAAUACGUAGUGAUGUACCUGAUAUACCUGAAAAUUAUAAUUUUUGGAAAUUAUGGAUCACCUACACGCUAAUAUCAUCCACGCAGAUAUUAAACCUGAUAAUGUACUGUUAAUGAAUAAGUUGACAUAUCCAGUGAAGCAAUGUUGCUUGCAACUGAUCGACUUUGGUAUUUCGAUCGAUUCUCUGAGCAAAGGUUCAGUUAUGUGCACAAUAAUAAUGGAUUCAAUUGUGUGGAAAUGCGUGAUAAACGUCCAUGGACAUAUCAAUUGGAUUUGUAUGGCUUAACAGGAGUGGUACAUGUAUUGCUCUUUGGUAAAUAUAUGGAAAUAAAAAAUCGUUCCGAUGUUAUUUGGAUGCAUAAAACGCAUUAGCCGCAUUAUUUUAAUAGAAUUUUAUGGGAAAUUAUCUUCAGGGAAUUGCUGGACGUGCGCGAUUACAACGCAAUGUCAUUUUCAAAAUGUGUCUGAUAUUUUGAUAGAACUUCUUCCAAAUCGAAAUUUUUACCAUCGGACGAAAAGUAUUGCUCAAUCCAACUUAUUAUGUGUGCCAUGCCUCAAGUGGAUCAUCUCCUUUAUAAUUAUGUAUGUUGUGCUUCAUCUAACGGUGUUGUGUGAACAAUUCUUUUAUGUCUGAGCGCAACGAUGCUUGCAACAAACUGGCGUUUCGUCCUGAGGCUAAAGGCUGUAUGUUCUCCUUAGAUUCUUCAAAAUUCAUUACCGAAAAUAUAUUUGUUGUAAUAGGAGAAAAGGAUAUUGUAUUUAAUUUGUU